GCGUCUUGUCGGCCACGGUCUCUCCCUCAGAGACGCGCGCCUGGGCCUGACGCGUCUCCGGAAUGUCCAGCAACAAUUUGUCAAACAAAUUUCUGCAAACGUUGUUGCUGGACAUUCUGUUGCUUACACCCAGAUAAAACCUCACGUGCCGCAAUAUAAUUAAAAAGGUUAGUCUUAACCUUACAAGCAGUACUCAACAUCCGCCUGGAACACAGAAGUUCCUCCAGCAGCCAAUAGAGACGCAGUGAAGAAAUACUCGUCCUCGAGUAACCAACGCACUCUACUGGGAAACGAUCCGGCGACCUACUGCUCAUUUAUUGUUAGUUUUGAAUCGGCCCAAAAUACUGCUGACAUUAUAUAUUUUUAUUGAAAUGAUUCUUAAUUUUGUGUUCUGAUUUGUAUUUAUGUGGUGUCAGCAGUAUUCGUGCAUUCUACUCCUGUUUAAUUUAUUCCCGGACUGCAGCGACAUUAUGUGAACAACACUAGUCCUGGAAGUUGGCUUUAGGAAUGGAAACUACUAAAUAUGGAAGUCAAUAGCUUUGUUGCUCCACCGGGGCAAUUCUUGUGCGCUCGGUUCACACCGAAUGCACGCCCUUGCACUGGGAGAUGUUUGCCGCGGCCCUAGGCACAGUUCAGUGUGUAUACUUCUUGGUUGUAAAUUCACAUUGAGGCUUAUAAGGGCUCGCGGACAUUUCCCUUCCUUCUCCCCUCUACCCAUCCUACAGAAGGCUUUUGUCUUUCCCCCACCUCCCCUACCCAAAUUUCCUCCCAACUUUCCCCAUCUGUGCAUCACAAUUUGCACCAUUGCGAGCUACGUAUAACAUAGCGAAACCUCACCGUAUUAUUAAUGUACAAACAAUAUUCAUUUAAUGGUGUAGUAUUAUUUGCAAAUUGUCUCUGUAGGAUUAUUAUCGACUUGAGUAGAUGAUUAAAGCACCGGAUCUUGCUUCUUAAUGUUUAACCGCGUAACAACAAUGUAAUCACUUAGAAAAAUAAAUGCUUCAGGUAAA
rnacentral:lncRNA from 1 species